rnacentral:piRNA from 1 species
UUUAAAUGGAUUGAGUCUAUAGCCUUUUACC